rnacentral:rRNA from 1 species
CCAUGGGAGUUGGUUCUACCCGAAGGCGCUGCGCUAACCGCAAGGAGGCAGGCGACCACGGUAGGGUCAGCGACUGGGGUGAAGUCGUAACAAGGUAGCCGUAGGGGAACCUGCGGCUGGAUCACCUCCUUUCUAAGG